rnacentral:lncRNA from 10 species
CCCGAACGUGCCGCGCGAGCCGCGGUGCCCCCUCCUCUUUGCUGCUGCAGUGUCUGCGCCGGGCCAUUUAAUGAGAUUUAUUCACGCACGGCUCUUCUCAGCUUUGCGAGGGGUUGGCAGAUCCAGUGCACAGGGAUUUCCCACUACCGUGUUUUUCUCCCGCCCCCUUCCUUCCCUCUCGUCCUAAUACAUCCUUCGUUGGUUUCCUCGGCCCCGCAGGCUGCGUCCCGGGCACGCGCAAGUACAUGUAAGGACUUGUCAGCUGCCGGUGACCUCCCUCCUCCCUCGUCGCUCCUCCCCCAGCGGAAUGUAGGAUUAACAGUCUUUCCGAGAAAAUUUUGGCCAAAGAAAAAGGCCUGUGAAAGUCACCGCGUUAGACGUGGCCUCCUCGUGUUUUUCACUAACACGUUAUGGAAGGUUUUACUACCCGAAGGCAUAAAAGCACCACCGUGGGGAAGGGCCGUUUUGAAUAAACAACUUUAUUCAAAAAUCGAGAGGGGGUGAAGCGAUGCAGUUAGGGAAUUUUUGUUUUAAAGAGUAGUAACAUGCAGCUGGCUUGGCUAUUAAAUUGGAAACAAGGGGUUCCUCUCUGACUUGGCCACUGAUAUUGGGCGUGACCUUGGACAAAUAAUUUUGUUUCUUUGGGCUCAGUUUCUACAUAUGUAAAACGGGAAGGUUUCUCUUAAAAACUAAUCCUGAAGGGUUUCUUCUCAACAAAAAGAUGCAAGCUGUAGGAGGCAGAAAGCGUGGGUUCAAGUUCGAAAUUUGCCCCUGAAUUAGGACCCUUGACACAUUUCUAACCCAUCCAAGUAGAGAUCGUUCUUUUACAUUUGUGUGUUAUACAGGUGCAUUUUAGUGGUUACCAGGUUGCCACGUAUUUGAAGUGGUGUGAGAGCUACUCGUUUGGAACCGUUGUGGAUUUUCAAAUAGGAAAAUCAAAAGGCCCAAAGAGACAGCUCACUGGUGGCUAUUUCUUGCCAGGAGAUUUGAGAUAUGGUGAGAAACAAAACAGACAUGGUCCCUUCCCUUAUAAGGUUUAUAGUCUAGCAUCCUAAAAAUGUAUUUUAAUCAUAUCAAUUAACAUUUAAUCAUCUCUUCUAGUUCACUGACAUGUACUUAGCAUGUCUGCCUUUAGUAAAAGCCUACCAAGUCUCCUUUACCAAUACUGUUCAACAUCUGUUAACAUCUGCCUGUUAGCAGUUUAUAAUCUAGAACAGACAGUAGUAGCUACCAUACUUUUGUGGCAGAUACUAUAAGAUGGCUUAUUCAGUAUUCAUCCAACCCUCUUCUUGCUUACUUUUCUGUACUUUAAAAGCUGGAAAACAAACUACAGUUCUCAGACUCCUUUGCAGCUAGAUUGCUGGUGUGAGAUCAAUGGUGUGAUCAGUAAAUGUUUAACAAUGGCUAGAGAAGAGGGAAGGCCCUAAUUUGUAGCAUUGGCCAAUUCGGUUUGCUUUCUUUUUGAGGAACAGGGUCUCACGAUGUUGCCCAGGCUGGUCUUGAACUGCUAGGCUCCUCCCACCUCAACCUGCCAACUAGUUGGGACUACAUGGUACAAAUGUGUCCUCUACCAGAGUGACUUCAGUAAAUGUGGAGUUAGUUGGAAAGGAUGCUGACAAUCAGAAGUUGGCUUCAGUAUAUGACCUAGUUUCCAGCAAUCAGAUGUACCCAUUCAGGACAUGGAUGUGAGAGCGAGCAACAUGAUGCUUCAACUGCACUCAGGGAGAUAAGUAUCUUCUGACAAAUACCAUGAAGGAGGUAUCUGGUUCCUCUGGGUAGGUAGGGAGGAGUUGUGGCAUCUGUUCUAGAGUCAUAGGUGCUGACUGGCAGGCAUUGCUGGGAUGGGUUUCCACUAGAAUAGCUUUGUGAUGUGGGAUGGGUGUUCUUUGUGGUUUGGUUUUUCUUGGAUGUUGUUUCUAGCUUGGUUUAUCCAAGUCUGGUUCUCUGGCCCUCUGAGAGAUCUGUGAACUAAAUAGUAUCUUUUAAUCCCUUUUUGCUUCAACCAGCCCAGUCACAGCCAGCUACAUAAUUUGUGGAGCCCAGAGCAAAAUGAAAACAAAUUAUUUUAAUAGAGAUGAGGUCUCACUAUAUUGCCCAAGCUGGUCUCGAACUCCUGGGCUCAAGCGAUCUUCCUGCCUCAGCCUCCCAAAGUGCUGAGAUAACAGGUAUGAGCCACCAUGCCCUGCGAAAUUAUUCUUUUUGAGACAGAGUGAGACUCUGUCACCCAGGCUGGGGUGCAGUGACCCAAUCUCAACUCACUGCAGUCUUGACUUCCCAGGCUCAAGCAAUCCUCCCACCUCAGCCUCCUGAGUAGCUGGGACUACAGGCGUGCACCUCUACACCCAGCUAUUUUUCAUAUUUUUUUGGAGACAGGGUUUCACUAUAUUGCCCAGGCUGGUCUCGAACUCCUGAGCUCAAGUGAUCUGCCUGCCUUGGCCUCCCAAAGUGCUGGGAUUACAGGUGUGAGCCAUGGCGCCCAGCCUCAAGCUAAAUUAUUCUUUGUGUCAUCCCUUUUCUUUCCUUCACUUUCAGAUAACUCAGUUUUCUUAACUACUGUAGGGCAAAUGUCUGAGUCAUUUAGUUCAGUGUUCCUCAACCAGGGGUGAUUUUUGCCGCCCUAGGGGACAUUUGGCAAAAUAUCUGGAGGCAUUUUUGAUUAUCACAUCUUACAAUGCAUAGGGCAGCCCCUGCAGCGCAAAGAAUUAUCAGGUCCAAAGUGUCAAUAGUGCAGGUGUUGAAAAACCCUGGCCUAGUUUAAAGUAAAUUUGUACCCAGCCCUUCAUCCAGUCUCUUGCCUUUAUGAAACCAUGAUGGAAAAGAAACUCAUUCCCUUUCAGAGGCAUUUGGAAGGCCUAAGUAAGUACGGCAAACUUUGGAGUCAAUUGCAUCAACCAUACAAAGUCCCAAAAGGCUUUAUAUGCAGGUUUCUGCAAUUUCUCCAUAGAACCUUCCUGGGUACAAGGUAGGCACAUAAAUAUUUGUUGCCUAAAUGAAUAAUAAUAAAAUAAUUCUUGGCUAAAAGACAUAUUUUAUUUCUUUCUCUUUAAACCAAAGUCAGAUUUAUCAUGUGGUGAGAGAUGAAUUUCCUGAACAGAGAUCUCUCUAUUCAUUUUAACCAAUUAAUUUACUCAGUUACUCAGAGAAGCAAAACUUUUCUGAAACAACUUCCACUUCCAUAAGUUAGCAGUAAUAGUCUUAAGGAAGGAAUUGAUAGCCUAUAAAUUAAAGAUGAUGUUUGAGGAACAAGAAAUAAAAGAAACUUUCAGAAUAGAGUAAUAUUAGAACUGAUGCCUGAGCUUUCCAGGACCCUCAUUUAAAUUACAUAUCCAGAAUUGAUAUUGGAGCAUUUCCAAUGGAUUAUAUUAUAGAUAGGCAGGAGGAGACCAAACACACAUAGAGUAAGGAUAGAUAAAAUUCCCAAUUUAAAUAAUUAAGAUGCAAAAUCUCAGAAGCUAGGUAUCUAUUUGGAUCAACAUAUCUCAGGGUAGUUUCCCCUGGCCCCAAAGUUUAUUGCAUUUUAAUAUUCACAGUGUAAAUCACAUUCCAGAAAAACUCCCACUAAAAAGCUUUUUACUGAGACUGGGCAGGGUGGCUCAUGCCUGUAAUCCCAGUACUUUGGAAGACCAAGGUGAGAUUAUUGCUUGAGCCCAGAAGUUUGAGACCAGCUUGGGCAACAUAGUGAGACCUUGUCGCUACAAAAAAUUAACAAUUAGCCAGGCGUGGUGAUGUAUGCCUGUAGUCCCACUUACUCAGGAGGCUGAGGCAGGAGGAUCACUGGAGCCUAGGAAGUUGAAGCUGCAGUGAGCCAUGAUCACCACUGCACUCCAGCCUGGGUCACAGAGCAAGACCCUGUCUCAAAAAACACACACACAGAAAACUUUGUUAUUGACACUGGAUUCUCCUAGAUUUUGCUUUAUUUUACAUCCUCAUUCCAGAGGCCAGAAAAGACUACUUAUUCUCAGAUGUGUAAAUAUAGAUAAGUCCUUCUGUUUCUUCAUUUUCUCAAUAAAAUGUAUUUUUCCAAUUUUAAAAGUUUUUAAAUGCAUAGCAUGGAAAACAUGGAGGACAAUAAAGAAAAAUAUAGAACAUUCAGUCUCACCCAGUGGAAGUCAUGAUUAACAUUCUAGUCCAUUCUGUUUCUAGAAAAUUUUUCUGUAAAUAUAUUACAUAGAGAAAAUAAUGUCCUAGUUUUUUCACUUUGCAUCAUAACAAGCAUUUUCCAUGUAAAUUAAAACUCUUCAUAUACAUUGUUUUAAUGGCUGCAAAAUAUGCUGUGUUGUGGACAUAUGAUAAUUUACCUAACCAUUUUCCCACUGUUGGCCAACAACAGAAUGGUUCAAAUUUUACAUUAUCUUGUAUAUCACACUGAGCAUUUUUAGGCUGAAAAUUUUGCUCCAUUUUGGAUCCUAUCCUGAAUUUUUCAAGGAACUUACUUUCUAGUUCACUAUUUGAUAUCACCAGUUCUUGGUACAUACCAUGUUCUUUCUACACAGAAGAGAGAAUUGCAUGUGAUACUCAUUCUGCCUGGUUUGCUCUUCCUUUCCCUGUCUCUUUUUGCCAAGUUAACCCACUCUUUUCUUUCUUAAAGAUUUCAGUAAGUAGGAGUAGAGACCUUCCUGUGUCAGUACUUAGUCAAAAUAUAAAAUUGGAAUAGGAAGAAGAUUUUUUAAUAGAGGUUUUUUUGUUGUUUGCUUUUUUUACUUGAAGUUCCGGGAUACAUGUGCAGAAUGUGCAGGUUUGUUACUUAGGUAUACAUGUGCCAUGGUGGUUUGCUGCACCUAU